GAUGAACGCUGGCGGCGUGCCUAAUACAUGCAAGUCGAGCGAAUGGAUUGAGAGCUUGCUCCUAUGAAGUUAGCGGCGGACGGGUGAGUAACACGUGGGUAACCUGCCCAUAAGACUGGGAUAACUCCGGGAAACCGGGGCUAAUACCGGAUAACAUUUUGAACCGCAUGGUUCGAAAUUGAAAGGCGGCUUCGGCUGUCACUUCUGGAUGGACCCGCGUCGCAUUAGCUAGUUGGUGAGGUAACGGCUCACCAAGGUAACGAGGCGUAGCCGACCUGAGAGGGUGAUCGGCCACACUGGGACUGAGACACGGCCCAGACUCCUACGGGAGGCAGCAGUAGGGAAUCUUCCGCAAUGGACGAAAGUCUGACGGAGCAACGCCGCGUGAGUGAUGAAGGCUUUCGGGUCGUAAAACUCUGUUGUUAGGGAAGAACAAGUGCUAGUUGAAUAAGCUGGCACCUUGACGGUACCUAACCAGAAAGCCACGGCUAACUACGUGCCAGCAGCCGCCGUAA
rnacentral:rRNA from 1 species